rnacentral:rRNA from 1 species
AUACAGGGGGUGCGAGCGUUAAUCGGAAUUACUGGGCGUAAAGCGCACGUAGGCGGAUUGGAAAGUUGGGGGUGAAAUCCCAGGGCUCAACCCUGGAACUGCCUCCAAAACUAACAGUCUAGAGUUCGAGAGAGGUGAGUGGAAUUCCAAGUGUAGAGGUGAAAUUCGUAGAUAUUUGGAGGAACACCAGUGGCGAAGGCGGCUCACUGGCUCGAUCCUGACGCUGAGGUGCGAAAGCGUGGGGAGCAAACAGGAUUAGAAACCCCAGUAGUCC